UAACGACUCUCGGCAACGGAUAUCUAGGCUUUCGCAUCGAUGAAGAACGUAGCGAAAUGCGAUACUUGGUGUGAAUUGCAGAAUCCCGUGAACCAUCGAGUCUUUGAACGCAAGUUGCGCCCGAGGCCUUUAGGCCGAGGGCACGUCUGCCUGGGCGUCACGC
rnacentral:rRNA from 1 species